UCAGCCGGCGCCGACGCCGGCGCAAGGGCGGCGCGGCAGGCCCCAUCAACCACUACCGAUAUCAGCCGGUGCGCUUGCUGCAACUGCCCGACACGGCGGCCGCCCACCGGGACCCAGAACCGGACGGGUACGAGGACGAGGACGAGGAAGAGGACGAGGACGAGCUGUACGAGUCGGUGCGCGGAGCGGGCGACAGCCGUCCUGGCAGCGUGAGAGUGAACCCUCUGGCGGUGCCGUUCGAUGCGCCGGACGUGACGUCGCUGCCGCCACCUGACGUGACGUCACCGGCGCGGGAGUUGACGUCACCGGCGCGAGGGGAGCGACCAGUUUGAGUUUCCGCGGCCGCCGUCGGACCUGCUGAAACGAUUCAGCACCAGCGACGGCUUCGAGUGAUGUCAUUGAUCCGAAGACGCCUCACACUGACGCCACUGAUCCAGAGAAGGACCACAGUGCCGCCAUUAUUCCAACAACGGCUCCGAGUCACGUCAUUGGUCCAGUAAUGGCUUUGAGUGACGUCACUGGCCUGUCGACAAUGUCGGAUGACAUUACCUGUUCAGCAACGGUCUAUUGGGAUGUCACCGAUCCAGCGACGGCUUUGAGUGACGUCACUGAUGCACAAAAAAAUCUAGUGACAUCACCGGCCUAGCAUCAGCGUCAAGCACCACACUGGCCCAAGCUGGCCCUGCUUGUAUGGAAGGUCUGACACGAGGUCACUGGAUCACGGCCGGCCCUGAUUAUGAGGGACGGGUGGGCGCUGAGCGGCACCGACACGCCUGACUCUUGUGGAACGAACGGAAGUUGCCGACAGCUAGUGUCUGCUCAUCUGGCGCUCCUACCUACAGCUGUGAGUGUCGGAAGGCAGCCAAGAUCGCCACGCACUUACGUACCGUGUGUAGAGCUAUCGUGUUUUCAGUCAAAAUCACGAUUUCUGUGCGUUUCGUGCAGACUGACGCCACGCGGUUGGCUGGUCGUGAACUGCGACGGGACGAUGACAUCACAUGUGCUCGAAGAGAAAUUGACGGCAGUAAACGCGCUGCGUGGAAGGAUACAAUAGGGGAGUGCCGUUGUCGCAGUCCCCACAUAUCCCGUGUGUCGAGCGAUGCGACGCUGGCGUGAUGGAUGGUUCGCUUCAAGCGCUUGUUGUUUCACAAUAGGUGCCUAGAGCCAGGAGCCAGGACAUUACCGUACCCUUAGAUGCCUAUUGUUAUGGCCGAGUGUGCUGUCGUUAAAAGUCAGUGGCGAGGCCAGAGGUGGAUGCAAUCAUAAUGUCUUGCGCAACAGCUGCACUGGAAAGAAAUCGGCGUCAAAUCGCAAUUGGUUUGCUGCUCUCUGAAAGAGAACAUAAACAUAUGUACUGGUGCUGAGUGCUGCGCGCCUUACAGUGUCGCUCACCGCUCUAUCUGAAUGCGAUGUUAAACAAUGCCAUAGUCCGUCCCACGUGACCAGCAACCCUCAAUGUCAUAGGCACGUGCCAUAUAGCGCUCGGGACGUUUGUGCACCGGCUUAGGCUCGCUUUUGCGCAGCUUAGAACGCAAUGCUUCCAGGUUGUGGCUUCCCCAUUUAGUGUGAAUAAAUCGAAACGGUGAUGUCG